AACGAACGCUGGCGGCAGGCCUAACACUUGCAAGUCGAACGAACUCUUCGGAGUUAGUGGCGGACGGGUGAGUAACACGUGGGAACGUGCCUUUAGGUUCGGAAUAACUCAGGGAAACUUGUGCUAAUACCGAAUGUGCCCUUCGGGGGAAAGAUUUAUCGCCUUUAGAGCGGCCCGCGUCUGAUUAGCUAGUUGGUGAGGUAACGGUUCACCAAGGCGACGAUCAGUAGCUGGUCUGAGAGGAUGACCAGCCACACUGGGACUGAGACACGGCCCAGACUCCGACGGGGGGCAGCAGUGGGGAAUCUUGCGCAAUGGGCGAAAGCCUGACGCAGCCAUGCCGCGUGAAUGAUGAAGGUCUUAGGAUUGUAAAAUUCUUUCACCGGGGACGAUAAUGACGGUACCCGGAGAAGAAGCCCCGGCUAACUUCGUGCCAGCCGCCGCCGUAACAC
rnacentral:rRNA from 1 species